GGAAAAACGGUAUAAAGGCUGGUGGAUCUCGGGGUGCUUCGUUUGCUCAGCCUUACCCUGAGGUGUCCGUGGUCAGAGCCCAGGAGGGGUCACUGCUCCAAGAUGAGCUCCAGACUACUCCGGUGCCUUUUCCCAGGCGACGGGAGUUCCCAGCCCCAGAGCUCCUCCGGCGGGGGAGGAGGCAGAUCACUCCUGAGCAUGGAUAUUAAUUCUGGUGGCAGUGUAGGUAAAGGAGGAGAAGGAGGAAAAGAAGGAGGAGGAGGAGGAGGUGGAGGAGUUUCAGGCGGCAAUUUCAACGGUCCCAUCAUUGGCUUGGCAGCUGGAGGUGGAGGGGGAACGAACUCCACCUACUGUGCAGGAAAUGUAGGAGGAGACCCAGCCCAUUUGAUGGCCGCCAUACAAAAUUCGAAGUAGUGCCUGCCAGAAGAACUCUGACACAAAGGAAGCCCAAGAUAUGCAGAUGCCUCGCGUUUUCUCCUCCAUUAAACUCAAGAUUAUUUGCGUUGUUCUCUUCUCCCUUCCCCUGCAAAUGUUCCUACUGGAACCUCUGGUGUUGUGCAUCUGUAAUUCAGUCCAGGGUUGUUCUGUGUGCCUGUUCCUCCCUCAAUUUUCAAGUGUUUGCAUGAGACAAUAAAAUUGCAGUUCUACAGA